AUCAAACUUGAGAGUUUGAUCCUGGCUCAGAACGAACGCUGGCGGCAUGCCUAAUACAUGCAAGUCGAACGAUCCUUUCGGGGAUAGUGGC
rnacentral:rRNA from 1 species